GUGGGGGGCGGUGCAGGUGUCCGGUUAUGGAGUAACUCCCGGGGAUAAAGGCAGAACAUCGGCGACAGCCAGGGUAUCCUAACAGCGCUGUGUGCCCACCAUGCGGCCACACCUGGGGCGAGCAGAGCAGAGCUUGGAGUUGGGCAUCAUUAUGCCGUAGACCUGAAUUUAAUGCAACAUCGUGUCUCAACUCUGCCACAAUUAAAAAAAAUUUAUAUAUAUAUAUACAUACACACACACACACACACACACACACAUUUUAAAAAUAAAAUGAAAAAAAUCAAAUGUAUUGUAUUUGUAGGUCCAGGAUAAUUGUGCAUUGGUUUCCUUAGAUAUCCAGCCUGGUUUAUACUUGGAAGUUUUGUCUACCCUCUCUAUGUAUUUGUUUUUAAAGAUUUUUUAAAAUUUAUUUGAGCAAGUAAGUGAGAGCAAGAGUACAAGCAAGGGGAGGAGCAGAGGGAGAAGCAGGCUCCCCAUCGAGCAGGGAGCCUGACACAGGGCUUGAUCCCGAAACCCCAGGAUCAUGACCUGAGCCAAAGGCAGAUGCCCCCCACUGUCCAUCCUCUUUAAUUUUGGUCACUUCGGUGGGUGCCAAAUGGACAAAUUACAGUAGAGCUUAUGUGGUCCCAUUUUGUAUAUAUAGGCUUUCUCACUCUUGUUCUGUGUUUUAGUGCCUCUUUUAGGGUUUUCUGUAAAACAUACCGUUUAGCUAGAUCUUUUAUCGUUUGUCCUGUACCUUAAACUGUUGUCCUUUCUCGGUGUGAAUUUUCCCCAGGUGUGCAGUGCUGAGAUAUGAAAAGCUGGUUUGCCCUCUCUGCAUAAUCCAAACAGGGCCGGACGGCCUGUCCCAGAAGGUGUAGCGUGAGGAGGCGCCCCCAGGCUGUCCUGAGAGCCUGCUGGAAGACAGCACUUCAGCUUGGAUCCCCCAUCAUUCACCUCAGAUGGAGAGGAAAGCAGACGUGACUGUGAAUCCACAGCGACAUUAGAUUGCUAGAAACCGGAGGAGUCAACAGCACUUUUUCUGCUUAGAUCAGCUUAUUGCUACUACUACCCAAUUGCUUCCAGAGCCAGGCAAAUGCCUCACCUUUGCGACUUUUCACACUUCUCUGUCCUCUCCUCUUGACUCAAUCCAGCAGAAGUAAUAGGGUGGGAAGAGGCCAGUUUUUCAAAUGUACCCAGGCUUUAGCCAGAUCAUCUGUACCAAAGGUAGGCCCACCUCAUCAAAAACCAGGGUUUUGAAGUAAACAACUGGAGUCUGCAGACAUCUUCCCUGGUCAGCCGUGUGCCCAGGGCUGCGUUGAUGGCUACCAACGACACUGACACUCCCGACAGUCCUUCACAACAUCCACAUGGCUGCAAGAGCUAAAGCGCUUUCUUAGGGCCAAAUGAUCCAGUGGUUACGGCCAUAGGUCCUUGGACACAUUAACCAACUGGCUCUGCCACAAGGGGUGGAGAAGAGGAGCAGAGGGCACACUGGCUUGGUCUUACCACGCCAGUAAAUCCCUGGGACAGGGAUCCCUGGGUGGCGCAGCAGUUUGGCGCCUGCCUUUGGCCCAGGGCGCGAUCCUGGAGACCCAGGAUCGAAUCCCACAUCAGGCUCCCGGUGCAUGG